ACGGGAGGCAGCAGUGGGGGAUAUUGCACAAUGGGGGAAACCCUGAUGCAGCGACGCCGCGUGAGGGAAGAAGGUUUUCGGAUUGUAAACCUCUGUCUUCGGGGACGAUAAUGACGGUACCCGAGGAGGAAGCCACGGCUAACUACGUGCCAGCAGCCGCGGUAAUACGUAGGUGGCGAGCGUUGUCCGGAAUUACUGGGUGUAAAGGGAGCGUAGGCGGGUAUGCAAGUUGAAUGUGAAAUCUAUCGGCUCAACUGAUAGGCUGCGUUCAAAACUGUAUAUCUUGAGUGAAGUAGAGGCAGGCGGAAUUCCUGGUGUAGCGGUGAAAUGCGUAGAUAUCAGGAGGAACACCGGUGGCGAAGGCGGCCUGCUGGGCUUUUACUGACGCUGAGGCUCGAAAGCAUGGGUAGCAAACAGGAUUAGAUACCCUGGUA
rnacentral:rRNA from 1 species